UCGAUUUGGAGUUUGUUGCCCUGAGUGAUGGGCUCCGAAGCUAACGCGAUAAAUCGACCGCCUGGGGAGUACGGCCGCAAGGUUAAAACUCAAAUGAAUUGACGGGGGCCCGCACAAGCGGUGGAGCAUGUGGUUUAAUUCGAUGCAACGCGAAGAACCUUACCUGGUCUUGACAUCCACAGAAUCUUGCAGAGAUGCGAGAGUGCCUUCGGGAACUGUGAGACAGGUGCUGCAUGGCUGUCGUCAGCUCGUGUUGUGAAAUGUUGGGUUAAGUCCCGCAACGAGCGCAACCCUUAUCCUUUGUUGCCAGCGAUUCGGUCGGGAACUCAAAGGAGACUGCCGUUGAUAAAGCGGAGGAAGGUGGGGACGACGUCAAGUCAUCAUGGCCCUUACGACCAGGGCUACACACGUGCUACAAUGGCGUAUACAAAGGGAGGCGACCUCGCGAGAGCAAGCGGACCUCACAAAGUACGUCUAAGUCCGGAUUGGAGUCUGCAACUCGACUCCAUGAAGUCGGAAUCGCUAGUAAUCGUGAAUCAGAAUGUCACGGUGAAUACGUUCCCGGGCCU
rnacentral:rRNA from 1 species